UUUUUUCCCAAAAUAUUCAUGGUUUUAAUAUACGGUUUAAGUUUUCUGUACCUUUGGUUAGUACAGUCAUGCCUCUGAGUUGAGUGAAUAAAAUGUAAUUAAGUAUUGUUUAAAGAAUUCCAUAAUUUUAAAUUCUGUUGUUUUUACAAGCAAUUAUGUAGAUGCAGGUAUAUAGACAAUGUUUCUAAAACACCUCUAAUACUGCAGAAGGUUGUAGUGCUAUUGUGGAAUUUAGGAAGGGAGUCCAUUCCGUAGAAAUGAAAAUUAAAUAGACAUUGCUAACUUUGUUAUUAAAAAUGUAGGUUUAUAAUUUUGUGAGAAUAAAACCCAUGUUGAGCAUGUG
rnacentral:misc_RNA from 1 species